UACGAAGGGGGCUAGCGUUGUUCGGAAUUACUGGGCGUAAAGCGCGCGCAGGCGGCUAUCCAAGUCAGUGGUGAAAGCCCGGAGCUCAACUCCGGAACUGCCAUUGAAACUGUUUAGCUGGAGUAUGAGAGAGGUGAGUGGAAUUCCCAGUGUAGAGGUGAAAUUCGUAGAUAUUGGGAAGAACACCGGUGGCGAAGGCAGCUCACUGGCUCAUUACUGACGCUCAUGCGCGACAGCGUGGGGGAUCAAACAGG
rnacentral:rRNA from 1 species